rnacentral:rRNA from 1 species
GACGAACGCUGGCGGCGUGCUUAACACAUGCAAGUCGAACGGAAAGGCCCUGCUUGCAGGGUACUCGAGUGGCGAACGGGUGAGUAACACGUGGGUGAUCUGCCCUGCACUUCGGGAUAAGCCUGGGAAACUGGGUCUAAUACCGGAUAGGAGCCAUUUUUAGUGUGAUGGUUGGAAAGUUUUUUCGGUGUAGGAUGAGCUCGCGGCCUAUCAGCUUGUUGGUGGGGUAAUGGCCUACCAAGGCGGCGACGGGUAGCCGGCCUGAGAGGGUGGACGGCCACAUUGGGACUGAGAUACGGCCCAGACUCCUACGGGAGGCAGCAGUGGGGAAUAUUGCACAAUGGGCGCAAGCCUGAUGCAGCGACGCCGCGUGGGGGAUGACGGCCUUCGGGUUGUAAACUCCUUUCGCUAGGGACGAAGCUUUUUGUGACGGUACCUAGAUAAGAAGCACCGGCUAACUACGUG